rnacentral:rRNA from 1 species
CGUGCUUAACACAUGCAAGUCGAACGAGAAGAGAUGAGAAGCUUGCUUCUUAUCGAUUCGAGUGGCAAACGGGUGAGUAACGCGUAAGCAACCUGCCCUUCAGAUGGGGACAACAGCUGGAAACGGCUGCUAAUACCGAAUACGUUCCUUAGGUCGCAUGAUCUUAGGAAGAAAGGGUGGCCUCUACCUGUAAGCUAUCGCCUGAAGAGGGGUUUGCGUCUGAUUAGGUAGUUGGGUGAGGUAAACGGCCCACCAAGCCGACGAUCAGUAGCCGGUCUGAGAGGAUGAACGGCCACACUGGAACUGAGACACGGUCCAGACUCCUACGGGAGGCAGCAGUGGGGAAUCUUCCGCAAUGGGCGAAAGCCUGACGGAGCAACGCCGCGUGAGUGAUGACGGCCUUCGGGUUGUAAAGCUCUGUGAUCGGGGACGAACGGUCAGCAGACGAACUACUCUGCUGAAGUGACGGUACCCGAAUAGCAAGCCACGGCUAACUACGUG